UAGGGAAUCUUCCACAAUGGGCGCAAGCCUGAUGGAGCAACACCGCGUGAGUGAAGAGGGGUUUCGGCUCGUAAAGCUCUGUUGUUAAAGAAGAACACGUAUGAGAGUAACUGUUCAUACGUUGACGGUAUUUAACCAGAAAGUCACGGCUAACUACGUGCCCG
rnacentral:rRNA from 1 species